CCCAUCAGUUGAAUACUGUUGGACCAAAAAUGAAGUCAAUUAUUCUUAUUAUCGCGAGCGUGGCGUACGCUAGUUCGUCUCCAGUCUAUGUGUACAACAAUGGAUACGUGCCACUCGCAAAAACAACUCUAACAUCGAGCAGCCAGACGGUGGACCACGGCAGCACCCACGUGCUACACCCCGUUCAGCCCGCACUCCUGGCGAAGACCACAUCAAGCCACAGCAGCCAACUCGUCGACCAUGGCACCACUCACGUCCUCCACGCGCCUCUGGUUCAAACCCACGAGCUGUCGCACCCCGUGUAUACAGUACAGCACGCCCCGGUAGUACUACCAUCGACCCUGGUUUCCUACAAAACUCCAGACUCCGCCAUCACCCAUCACAGUUCCACCACCCACGAGACCGUGCCCUACGUCCAAUCUAUACCGUUCUACACUUACCACCAUUGAUUUGUUAAAUACCGUCACGUAUUGGGUAUUACAUAAAGUAUUUUAACUUUUAAGUAUAAUUUAUACCAAAGCAGUGGUUCACAUGUUUGACGAAUAAUAAUGAGUUAAAAUAUUUUAUAUGACACCUUAAUGAAAGAGGCUUUUUUGUUACAACUUGUUGCUUAAAUAAAUUUUCUCCAAAAUAAA